rnacentral:RNase_P_RNA from 1 species
GGGACAGUCGCUCCGGGGACUUGGUGUUUUGCGCCAAGGAUUCCGGGGAGGAAAGUCCGGGCUCCAUGAAUCAGGGUGGUUGCUAACGGCAACCGGCCGCAAGGCUAGGGAAAGUGCAGCAGAGAGUAGACCGCCUACCCCGGCGCGUUUGACCUUCGGGAAGAACCGCUGGGCGGCAAGGGUGAAACGGUGCGGUAAGAGCGCACCAGCGCCCCCGGAGACGGGGGCGGCUUGGUAAACCCCACCCGGAGAAAGGCCGAAUAGGGGAGGUUCCCGCGGCGGUGAUUCCCGCCCUCAACCUCCCGGGUAGGCCGUUCGAGGCGGGCGGCAACGUCCGUCCCAGAGAAAUGACUGUCGCCCCUCGGGGUACAGAAUCCGGCUUACAAGGCCUCUCG